ACCAGUUCGUGUGACGCUUUCGAAAAACUAAUGGUAUGUUUAAUGCAAAGGUACUAUCAUGACCCAGAGGCAAUAGAUUGUUACCAAAAGUUACCACGCGAAGAACUAGAUGAAAAAGGUGUUUAUCACUCAGAAUAUUACAAAAAGUUUACCCAGUAUAUUUAUUGCAAGCAAUCCUGAAAACAAACCCAUAGAAGACAUAACUGUAUCAGAAGAUUUAAGUCAAAUGUCAAAAGGAAAAGAAAAAUUGCUCCGUUCAAAAUAUCAAGUCUACAACAAAGAACUUUUUAUAAUUUGCCAAUGUGAAGGCGGUGAACUUCGAAACGUUGAGUUUACAGCGACUGGAAAAAAAAAUGUUAAAAGUUUCCAAGUUGCUUAAUGAUCAAAAAUUCUUCCUUAGAAUGAACACUAUCCCAAAUUCUGAUGACGCCGUUUGCAAAUGAUGUUCAAUACCACUUAAAGUGUUGAGUAACAGUGCAGACAACAACUCAAAAAGAAAUUCAAAAAUUGGAUGAUAUUGGACGGGUUAUCGCAGAUGUAGAAAUCAUUAGUUUAGUCCAUUUGAUCCUAAAAGAAGAUGGUUUUGCUAUGGAUAUGAACAACAUCAAUAAAACCUACAAUAACUUAGUUGGGAAUAAUAACCAGACUGGGAAUAAUAACCAGACUCACUGAGGUGAAUUAUAAACGUUAAUUAAAGAAACUUCUACAGAUUAACGUGCCAGGAAUAAUUUUUUUAAGACCUCUUUACUGUAUCUUGCUGCAAUGAAUGAACUAAAAAAAAUAGACAUUACUCCCUGACAAUAUCUUUAAAAAAAAUUUACUAUCAACAGGCAUUCCUUUCUGUAAUAUUGGUUCUAAUCAUGCCUUUGAACAGGAAAAAAAGGUUUUGAAGGUAGCAGGAGGGGUGAUUAGUAUUACACACAAUCCAACGUGCUUAACCCGUUUUUACCUUAUUGCUUUUGCUUUAAACUCUAUAUCAAAAAUGUUUUUGCGAAAAAAAUAAUAUUUGAUCAUAAUUUCGCAAACAACAGCAGUGGCGCAGUGGCGCAGUGGCGCACUUUUCAAAAACAUUAGAAAUUUCGAGACAAGAACAACUAUCAUUAUUGAUGGCACGGCCUUGGUCAAUAAAAUUUAUAAAGAUAACAGUAUUAAAACUUGGAAGUUCAUUUUUAUCAAGUCCUGUCACAUGUCCUAAUUUUCCAAACUGCUAGAGGGGAUAAGGAACGAGAUAUCUCAAGUCAAAAAUGUUACAAAGCAACUGGUUCUAAAUAAGCACAAGGUUUUCACGUUUUUACUGCCCGUGAUCAAAUUGGACACUUUUCUGGAAUCACUAAAAAAUCAUGGUGAAAAGAAUUUAUAAAAGCUGAUGAUGUAACCCUAGCUGCACUAUCAAAUCUUGGUCAAUCGAAAGCUUUACCUGAUCUGUUUACAUUAAUAACAUUGAAUGUUUUGUUGUUAGAGUCUACGGUGAUAAAAAACGGACAGAAAAUGUUAAUACUUUCACAACUUUGUUGGUUCCUUUUCUCUAAAUUUCAAUUUUUCUUUUAAAUUUCAGACGCUGCACAACUUCCACCAACAGUGAAUGUCCUUAAGUACCAUAUAUUCCGUAGUAACUUUCUAUGUUUAGUGUUUAAACGCUCUAACAUGCCCGUACAGUAUUUACCAUUGCCUGUGGAGUAUGGUUGGGAACUAAACAAUGGAUCUUUUGACCCCAUAAUUACUGAUAACCUGCCAGCACCAAUAGCACUAAUCGAGUUGAGCGUUGUAAAGGAGUAAUGUUUAAAAUAUUGUGCAAAUGUUUGAAAAAUAAACUUUUCUGUACUGAUAUGUGCAAGUUUAAAGGAUGUAAAAAUGAUAAUGUAGACGACCAAGAGGAAAACUAUGACUAUGAAUGUAGAGAUUUAUAAGACGCAACUAAUUUAUUUGUGUUAUUA